rnacentral:misc_RNA from 1 species
AAAGUCGUAACAAGGUUUCCGUAGGUGAACCUGCGGAAGGAUCAUUACAAAUCCAUCACGUCUCUCUUACCCGAGACACCGUCUAAAUGUUCCGGGAUCGAGCCGCCUUAUGGGUGGGUGGGGGAGCGGGUAUCUUCGAGGACGGGCCACUUUCUCUCCCCCUACCCGGGAGAGAGAGAGGGGCCAAUUGUCGUUGCAUGCCUGCCUGCCUGCCUGCCUGCCUGCCUGGCUCGACCACCCACAACCCCUUUUAAAACCUAGUGUGACUGUUGCUUCAUAUGUAUUGUUUCUUUGUUGAACACAACACGAAAACAACUUAUAACAAUGGAUCUCUAGGCUCUU